rnacentral:rRNA from 1 species
CUACGGGAGGCAGCAGUGGGGAAUAUUGGACAAUGGGGGGAACCCUGAUCCAGCAAUGCCGCGUGUGUGAAGAAGGUCUUCGGAUUGUAAAGCACUUUCACUAGGGAAGAUGAUGACGGUACCUAGAGAAGAAGCCCCGGCUAACUUCGUGCCAGCAGCCGCGGUAAUACGAAGGGGGCUAGCGUUGCUCGGAAUGACUGGGCGUAAAGGGCGCGUAGGCUGUUUGUACAGUCAGAUGUGAAAUCCCCGGGCUUAACCUGGGAACUGCAUUUGAUACGUGCAGACUAGAGUCCGAGAGAGGGUUGUGGAAUUCCCAGUGUAGAGGUGAAAUUCGUAGAUAUUGGGAAGAACACCGGUUGCGAAGGCGGCAACCUGGCUCGGAACUGACGCUGANGCGCGAAAGCGUGGGGAGCGAACAGGAUUAGAUACCCUGGUAGUCCACGCUGUAAACGAUGUGUGCUGGAUGUUGGGUGAUUUUAUCAUUCAGUGUCGGAGCUAACGCGUUAAGCACACCCCCUGGGGAGUACNGCCNCAANGUUGAAACUCAAAGGAAUUGACNGGGGGCCNCACAAGCGGUG